UAUUUAUAUAGUUUAAAAAACAUUAUAUUUUCAAUAUAAAUUUAACAUAAAAAUGUUUAUAAAUAA
rnacentral:tRNA from 1 species